UACGUAGGCAGCAAGCGUUGUUCGGAAUUACUGGGCGUAAAGAGUGUGUAGGCGGUGCUCUAAGUCUGUUGUGAAAUCUCCCGGCUUAACCGGGAGGGUGCGGCGGAAACUGGAGUGCUUGAGGGUGGGAGAGGUAAGCGGAAUUCCUGGUGUAGCGGUGAAAUGCGUAGAUAUCAGGAGGAACACCGGUGGUGUAGACGGCUUACUGGACCACGCUGACACUGAGGCACGAAAGCGUGGGUAGCAAACAGGG
rnacentral:rRNA from 1 species